UUGGAGGGCAAGUCUGGUGCCAGCAGCCGCGGUAAUCCCAGCUCCAAUAGCGUAUAUUAAAGUUGUUGCAGUUAAAAGGCUCGUAGUUGAAUUUCGAGAUCAAAUUGUUGGUCGUGCCUCGGUACGCACUGGCAUUAUUGAUUUCUCCCUUCUGAAGAACCUUGAUGUCAUUAAUUUGGUGUCUUGGGGAAUCAGGACCGUUACUUUGAAAAAAUUAGAGUGUUUAAAGCAGGCUCACGCUUGAAUACAUUAGCAUGGAAUAAUGAAAUAGGACGUUUGACCCUAUUUUGUUGGUUUCUAGGAUCGACGUAAUGAUUAAUAGGGAUAGUUGGGGGCAUUAGUAUUCAAUUGUCAGAGGUGAAAUUCUUGGAUUUAUUGAAGACUAACUACUGCGAAAGCAUUUGCCAAGGAUGUUUUCAUUAAUCAAGAACGAAAGUUAGGGGAUCGAAGACGAUCAGAUACCGUCGUAGUCUUAACCAUAAACUAUGCCGACUAGGGAUCGGAUGAUGUUAAUUUUUUAAUGACUCAUUCGGCGCCUUACGGGAAACCAAAGUGUUUGGGUUC
rnacentral:rRNA from 1 species